rnacentral:rRNA from 1 species
CUUGAUUUGACGAUUUGAGACUUCAACUUGAGCGCUUGUUUGAGGAUGGUAGGAAAGGGAAACUUUGUGAGUAACACCAUACUUUUUAACAAGAUGCUCAAAGACGCAAUUACAGAAAUGCUUACCCCCAUCACUAAUGAUACCCUUGGGGUGCCAAACCUACUAAAGAUAAACUCCCUUAUGAAUGAAAUAACAAUUUUGUGAUCAUUGGUCCUAGUGGCAAUGGCCUCUAUCUAUUUAGAAACGUAAACCACUGCAAGAAGGAUGUAUUGAUUUUAGACAUUAAUCAAAUAAAUAAGUUAAAAAAAACUAUCAAGGAAAAACUAUCCUUUAUGAACUCCAUGUGUGGGGUUUUUAUAAGUAAAAAGGGUUUGGGUGAAAUAAUAAAACAUGGUUGAGUGAAACAAGGAAACAUGAUUUGAGUUAAACAAUGAAACACGGUUGAAUGAAACAAGGAAUGGUUGAGUGAAACAAUGAAUGGUGUUGGAGUUGAAUAAGGAAACAUGUCUUGUAAAAAAAAUUAUGAUAAAGUUGGCCAUGUGGACGUCCAAAUCUUCAUAUUAAUUUUCUCAAGAUUCGUAGUUGUUGUUGUUUUGUGGGCUUGACUUCAUGGGUCUUAGGAUUGAAAUUCUUUAAUCCUUAUGAAUGCAUUUAAACUCCAAUUGAGCAUUCUAGUUGUUGAAUUUAGCCUUAUUGUGCAACUUUAUGCAUGAUUUGAUAUUUGUGUUUGAAUUUCUACAAAAUGCACAAAAACACAUGUAAUGAGGUAUUUUUAUUUGAUAAUUAGAAUUAAAAAUUGUAUAUUUAGAGGUGUAAAAUCGAUGUUUCGUGUGCUUAUCACACCACCCCCAAACAACAUUUUGCUAGUCCUCUAGCAAAAAACAACGAAAAGAAAGAUAAGAACACAAAACAAUGCCACUUUCGCUGGUACGACUCAAUUGCAUUUACAAUAUGAAACAGCGCCUUUAGCCCCUAACAUGACUCUAAAAGAUGAGUUUUAGCCUCCUGAGGAUUAUCCAGGAUGACACCCACAAACAAUUUUUUUACAUGAAACAAAAUUGAUGUGUGACCUAUUUUUCUCAGAGAAUGUCCCUGUUAUUCAACAACAUAGAAAACAAGAGACAUAUGUAACUUCUUAGUAAAAUGCACAUUACAAGUUAGCAACUUUGGAACAAGGUGUGUGUGUGUAUCAAUAACCAACAAAUGCAAUUUUUUGUGUCAAAGUAACGUACAUCCUAAUCCACAUUUGGAAUAGCCGUUUUGACUUCAAAACUCACAAGUUAAUCUCUCUGAAAUGAUCACUCUGAGUUUGGGUUAAAUAUUUUCUCUCUUGCAUGUGAGGAAAAGAGAAAAUGCAAAAAUUCAAACUUCUCACAUGCUCAUAAGAAUAAACAGACAUGAAAGAGAAUAAUAGUCUCAUGGAAGGAAUGAUGAUCACUUGCAAACAUGUCGAAUUACUCACAAUAGUGUCUUUUCAUCUACUCUCCACUUCUUACCAUACCUUACCAUAGGAUUAAUUAAGACUUCUCUAAAAUAAAAAUGAAUCUGGCUUUUUUUUUUCUUCAACCUGCAAUACACUUCAACAAUGCAUAGUGGAAGUAGGGGUUAUCGACUAUUUCACGUGGAUUAGAAGACAAAUCUGAUUUUUAAUUUAAAGAAUAAAGAAAAAAGUAAAAUAAUGGAUGGUGAAAAUAAACUAAAAGUUAAAAAAUAAAGAGAAACAAAGAUAAAACUUACUUCGUCAAUAGAAUUAAAAUGUAGUACAUGCACUUUUCUACGAAGUAAAAAUAUAAAUCCAAGAACUACAACUAAAAACCGACAUUGAUGUCGUUGCAUGAUUCUCGACAUCAAUCAAAGAAAUAUCUUUUGUUUUUAUUUAAUUUUUUCCUUCAACCUGCAAUACACUUCAACAAUGCAUAGUGGAAGUAGGGGCUAUCAACUAUUUCACGUGGAUUUGCCUACUCAGUGUCGGAAGGUCAAGGAAGUUGGUGGCCUGAUGAUAGGAGAGACAUCGACAGAAGCCCCGAUGAAUGGCGACCGUAACUAUAAUGGUCUUAUUCCUUGUCGGGUAAAUUUUGGCCCGCACGAAAGGCGUAACGAUCUGGGCACUGUCUCGGAGAGAGGCUCAGUGAAAUAGACAUGUCUGUGAAGAUGCGGACUACCUGCACCUAGAUAGAAAGACCCUAUGAAGCUUUACCUUUCCCCGGGAUUGGCUUUGGGCCUUUCCUGCACAUCUUAGGUGGACAGCAAAGAAGGCCUUCUUCUAGGGGGCCUGAGCCAUCAGUGAGAUACCUCUCUAGAAGAGCUAGAAUUCCAACCUAGUGUCAGGACCUACGGGCCAAGGGACAUUCUCUGGUAGAUAGUUUCUAUGAGGCGUAGGCCUCCCAAAAGGUAACGGAAGCGUGCAAAGGUUUCUUCAUGCAGAACGGAGAUUGGCCCUCGAGUGCAAAGGCAGAAGGGAGCUUGACUACCAGACCCACCCAUCGAGCAGGGACGAAAUUCGGCCUUAGUAAUCUGAUGGUGUCGAGUGGAAGAGUUGUCGCUCAACGGAUAAAAGUUACUCUAGGGAUAACAGGUUGAUCUUCCCCAAGAGUUCACAUGGAUGGGAAAGUUUGGCACCUCGAAGUCGGCUCUUCGCCACCUGGGGCUGUAGUAUGUUCCAAGGGUUGGGUUGUUCGCCCAUUACAGCAGUAUGUGAGCUGGGUUCAAAAUGUCAUGAGACAGUUCGAUCCAUAUCCGGUGUGGGCGUUAGAGCAUUGAGAGGACCUUUCCCUAGUACGAGAGGACCGGGAAGGACGCACCUCUAGUAUACCAGUUAUCGUGCCCACGGUCAACGCUGGGUAGCCAAGUGCGGAGUGGAUAACUACUGAAAGCACCUAAGUAGUAAGCCCACCCCAAGAUGAGUACUGUCCUAUUUCGACUUCCCUAGAGCCUCCGGUAGCACAGCCGGGACAACGACGGGUUCUCUACCUCUAUGGAGAUGGAGCGACAAAAGUUUUGAAAAUCCAACAAAAGAUCACUGCGACGAGC